AGGCUAUGAUGAUAAAUUACAUUUCUCGAUUCUGAGUUAUGUUGUUCGAUAGUGGACCAAGAGCAACUGCACGCAUGCGUGCUGCUCUCUGAUGACUGCGUUUGUGCGUGUCUGAGCCUU